AAACAACUAGAAUUUCGCGCGAUUCCCAUAUUUUUGUGUGUUAUAGCCCACGCCUUCCGAGUGGUCCCGGGACCUCUGGACCCCUAUCAUCUAAUAUUUUUCCGGACUAUCAAAUAAGACCUAAGGAACCAUAGUCACCACCCUGUCAAGAUCUUUCCACAUUUUUUGCAUGUUACUGAAAAAGACCUAGAAUUUUGCCCGAUUCCCAUAUUUUCGUGUGCUAUUGCCCACGUCUUCCGAGUGGUCCCAAGAGCCACGGACCCCGAUCGCCUAAAAAUUUUCCGGGCAAUCAAAUACGACCUAAGGAACCAUAGUAUCCUCCAUGCCAUGAUCGUUCCUUAUUUUUUGCAUUUUUUGGCAAACAACUAGAAUUCCACGCGAUUCCCAUAUUUUUGUUUUUUAUAGCCCACACAUUCCGAGUGGUCCCGGGACCUCUGGACCCCUAUCGCCUAAAAAUUUUCCGGACUAUCAAAUAUGACCUAAGGAACCAUAGUAUCCGCCCCGCCAUGAUCG
rnacentral:lncRNA from 1 species